CUUAGGGAGGAGCUUGCGUCACAUUAGUUAGUUGGUGGGGUAAAGGCCUACCAAGACUAUGAUGUGUAGCCGGGCUGAGAGGUUGAACGGCCACAUUGGGACUGAGACACGGCCCAAACUCCUACGGGAGGCAGCAGUAGGGAAUUUUCGGCAAUGGAGGAAACUCUGACCGAGCAACGCCGCGUGAACGAUGAAGUAUUUCGGUACGUAAAGUUCUUUUAUUAGGGAAGAAUAAAUGAUGGAAAAAUCAUUCUGACGGUACCUAAUGAAUAAGCCCCGGCUAACUAUGUGCCAGCAGCCGCGGUAAUACAUAGGGGGCAAGCGUUAUCCGGAAUUAUUGGGCGUAAAGGGUGCGUAGGCGGUUAAAUAAGUUUAUGGUCUAAGUGCAAUGCUCAACAUUGUGAUGCUAUAAAAACUGUUUAGCUAGAGUAAGAUAGAGGCAAGUGGAAUUCCAUGUGUAGUGGUAAAAUGCGUAAAUAUAUGGAGGAACACCAGUAGCGAAGGCGGCUUGCUGGGUCUUUACUGACGCUGAGGCACGAAAGCGUGGGGAGCAAACAGGAUUAGAUACCCUGGUAGUCCACGCCGUAAACGAUGAGUACUAAACGUUGGGUAAAACCAGUGUUGAAGUUAACACAUUAAGUACUCCGCCUGAGUAGUACGUACGCAAGUAUGAAACUUAAAGGAAUUGACGGGACUCCGCACAAGCGGUGGAUCAUGUUGUUUAAUUCGAANGUACCCGAAAAACCUCACCAGGUCUUGACAUGCUUCUGCAAAACUGUAGAAACACAGUGGAGGUUAUCAGUUGCACAGGUGGUGCAUGGUUGUCGUCAGCUCGUGUCGUGAGAUGUUGGGUUAAGUCCCGCAACGAGCGCAACCCUUAUUGUUAGUUACCAGCACGUAAUGGUGGGGACUUUAGCA
rnacentral:rRNA from 1 species